GUGGGGAAUCUUGCGCAAUGGGCGAAAGCCUGACGCAGCCAUGCCGCGUGAAUGAUGAAGGUCUUAGGAUUGUAAAAUUCUUUCACCGGGGACGAUAAUGACGGUACCCGGAGAAGAAGUUCCGGCUAACUUCGUGCCAGCAGCCGCGGUAAUACGAAGGGGGCUAGCGUUGCUCGGAAUUACUGGGCGUAAAGGGCGCGUAGGCGGACAGCUUAGUCAGAGGUGAAAGCCCAGGGCUCAACCUUGGAAUUGCCUUUGAUACUGGCUGUCUUGAGUUUGGGAGAGGUGAGUGGAACUCCGAGUGUAGAGGUGAAAUUCGUAGAUAUUCGGAAGAACACCAGUGGCGAAGGCGACUCACUGGCCCAAUACUGACGCUGAGGCGCGAAAGCGUGGGGAGCAAAAGGGAUUAGAAACCCGAGUAGUCC
rnacentral:rRNA from 1 species